AAGAUCACUUUUAGUGUUUGCCUUGGCGGUCGCUAUAGACAGGUUUGACUGUACCUAAUUCUGCUUCAUAGAGGAUUAGAAGCGCAGAAAGUUAUGGGACCAUACUGCUACAGCUUACCUGAGCUGAUUUUGUGGUAGUACCUCUAGUAGGCCUUCAGUGUAGCUUUAAUUUGGAAUGUUUAAAAUAUUUUGAUUGAAAGCCUGCAUAUGGAUAGAAAUAGCUAAACGUACUUAAUUGGGUAAAAUUGAUACAAUGUAAUGGAAAUCUGUAUUUAUCUUGUGAAUUGUAUAUAGACACAGAGGUUAUACCAUAGACUGGACAAAUUAAUAUUUGUAUGAUUAUCAAAUAAAUAUCUUGAAAUGGUAUGUUAUAAAAACA